GGUGGACUUUCAGGUCACAGGCUUGGCGCCACGCUUCUCUGUUAUGCCUGCCACAAAGUAUAGAGGCGACAUUUUGGUGCCUCCCAUCUACAGUAUUGAAAUGGAUGCAGCUACUUUUAAAGAUUUUAGUAGUCAUGAAUGGCACAUUGGGGUGCCAAAUUCUGCCUGCCGUGAUGAAAGCCCAGAAGAUGCAGUUUAGUGAUCAUUGAACAUCCCCACUCGCAGAGGCUAAGAACGCUUGAUACUUCUUCUCGCAGUGCUGACUGUUCUGCGGUGUCAAAUCUUACUUCACAGACAUGUUAAUGCAAAAUAUAAUCAAUUAGGAUUAGCUAUAGAUCUAUUUUUGCUCAUGCCUUUUCUCUUGCAAUUUGGCAUGGACAUGGUAGCACACUCACUUCUUGGGGAUUUAGAGAUUGAUUUGAAUCUCCCAAUUUGAAUCGUCUUCCAAGUUGAAGGGAGACAAGCAGUAAAAGUAUAUAUUGGUGUUUUUUUCUCUCUCUCUCUUCUUUUUACGAUUUUCUUUUGUUCUCUUUUACUUUUGAACACUAUACAGAUUUUACUUUAGAAAAUCCGGAUAUAGUUAGUCAAGUGCUGAGGGUAGAACAAUGGGCUUGAUCUCAUUUACACUUCUCCUUAGAUUAGAGGCAACAAGUGUAUCUGUAGAUUGUACACCAUCAAAGUAAAUGAUAAUUUUAUAUUGUU